UACGUAGGCAGCAAGCGUUGUUCGGAGUUACUGGGCAUAAAGGGUGCGUAGGCGGCUUCUUAAGUCUGGUGUGAAAUCUCCCGGCUCAACUGGGAGGGUGCGCCGGAUACUGAGGGGCUAGAGUGUGGGAGAGGAAAGUGGAAUUCCUGGUGUAGCGGUGAAAUGCGUAGAUAUCAGGAGGAACACCGGUGGUGUAAACGGCUUUCUGGACCAUAACUGACGCUGAGGCACGAAAGCGUGGGUAGCAAACAGG
rnacentral:rRNA from 1 species